rnacentral:rRNA from 1 species
UACGGAGGGUGCGAGCGUUGUCCGGAAUCACUGGGCGUAAAGGGCGCGUAGGUGGCGCGAGUAGUCAACGGUGAAAGCCCGGGGCUCAACCCCGGGUCGGCCGUCGAUACUCUCGUGCUUGAGCACUGUAGGGGCAGGUGGAAUUCCGGGUGUAGCGGUGGAAUGCGUAGAGAUCCGGAAGAACACCGGUGGCGAAGGCGGCCUGCUGGGCAGUAGCUGACACUGAGGCGCGACAGCGUGGGGAGCAAACAGG